rnacentral:rRNA from 1 species
UGGGGAAUAUUGCACAAUGGGCGCAAGCCUGAUGCAGCCAUGCCGCGUGUAUGAAGAAGGCCUUCGGGUUGUAAAGUACUUUCAGCGAGGAGGAAGGCGAUAAGGUUAAUAACCUUGUCGAUUGACGUUACUCGCAGAAGAAGCACCGGCUAACUCUGUGCCAGCAGCCGCGGUAAUACAGAGGGUGCGAGCGUUAAUCGGAUUUACUGGGCGUAAAGCGUGCGUAGGCGGCUUUUUAAGUCGGAUGUGACAUCCCCGAGCUUAACUUGGGAAUUGCAUUCGAUACUGGGAAGCUAGAGUAUGGGAGAGGAUGGUAGAAUUCCAGGUGUAGCAGUGAAAUGCGUAGAUAUGCGGAGGAACACCGAUGGCGAAGGCAAUCCCCUGGACCUGUGCUGACGCUCAUGCACGAAAGUGUGGGGAGCAAACA